UUUUAAUUGUAUGGCCAGGUUCAUUCUCGGAAUAAUGCUAAGCGGUUACAAGAAUUUGAAUAAUGCUGACUGAAACAUGGAAUAUUUUUUUAAGGGAUUUUAUAACCUGGUAAUUAAGAUCUUUAGAUAUUAAACAGUUAAUAAACCACCGUUAUUUCACAUUUAAACCUGGAGAAACACUAAACAAAAUAAAACGAAUCACAUAACUGCACUCCUCGCGUUCCCGCAAAAAAGUCCAACAUGGAAUAGUAUUCUCAGCGACAGUCUUCAACCUCCUACGCCCGUUCCAUAUUCAAUCAACCCUUUCGAUGGUGAUAAAUGGAGGAUGUCAGUUCUCUGAUUGAUGCGAUUCAUUCCUCAAUGUAGAAGAUUUCACAGUAGCGUGGUUCAAGGACCUGAGGGGCGUGAAAUGUAAAUUAAAGACGAGAAAAAUGGGGCCCAAAAGAAGACGCGAUGGCUUAAAAGAUAAGAUCCCACUGAUGUGUUUCAAAGGAGAAAAUCACCGGAUCCCCACCCGCUCGGGGAAUGGGGUCUGUGGGAGUUUAACCUCACCAAAAACUCCCGCCGCUCACAGCCGGCGCCCGACCCAGGACCGGGCCGGAACCCAAUCGGGGCCAUUGAGACGGCGGGACAGGGUUGACGCAGAGCAUGCUGCAUCCAUCCCGCCAUCCUCCAGAGGCUGGACUAGCGACCACCGGCAACACGACCACCGGUUCCCUCGUUCGGCGGGUUGGUGGUCCGCCAUGAUGGCACCGCGCUGCACCUUCCCCCGGAGCGGUCGGGGGAACGCAGCCUACCAUCACCACAUGCUUCACCUAGAAAUAAUUAAACAUUAUAUUUUGUCUCUUUCGUUCAUAUAUGAAACUCGUAACUAAUGUCAAACAAGUUUGUGUGGUUUUUUUUAUUGCUUAGGUGAGUGGAGGAGCUCAGAGCCCACCUGGUGUUAAGUGGUUACUGGAGCCCAUAGACAUCCGUACAACGUAAAUGCGCCACCUACCUUGAGAUACAAGUUCUAAGUUCUCAAGUAUAGUUACAACGGCUGCCCUGCCCUUCAAACCGAAACGGAUUACUGCUUCACGGCAGAAAUAAGCAGAAUGGUGGUACCUACCCGCGCGGACUCACAAGAGGUCCUACCACCAGUAACGAAACAAUAAAACUACGUACUAUUAUUCAUUUUUUUUUGGGCGUAUCAUCUCUAUAGUAAGUAAAGUAUAACAAUUGUAAUUAUUGAAAAAUGUAUUGUUAACAUGCUUACAGGAAGUCUGUCAUAGAACAAAUAAUUCUACAAAACGACUGAGCUUCUUUCUGUAUCUACAUAAAUAAAAUACAUUAAUACAAUAA